AUAUGUGAGGGUAAUCUGGCUGCGACAAGUGUCAUGCCAUUGAUCGCCAGGGUUGAUUCAGCUGAUCUGGCUGGCUAGGCUGGUGUCCCCUUCCUCCCUCACCACUCCAUGUUCCUCCCUCCUGGGACUACUAUAGGGACUACCUUCCCUAUACAGACAUACUGUUCUUCGGUCAAAGGCAUACAAGUAGCUGCGCUCCCCUGCCAGAACAAGCUCCCAAGGUUCAUGAUAAUAAUAUUAAUGGUAAUUGCUAAUAACAAUGAUAAUUCACUGAAGAAAUGAUUUGCUGAUUGU
rnacentral:snRNA from 1 species